CAAUAGCGUAUAUUAAAGUUGUUGCGGUUAAAAAGCUCGUAGUUGGAUUUCUGUUGAGGUCGGCCGGUCCCUACUUCGUAGGCGUAUCUGGUUCAGCCUUGGCAUCCUCCUAGGGAACGGCACUGCUCUUAACUGAGUGGUCCGGUAUCUAGGACUUUUACUUUGAGGAAAUUAGAGUGUUUACGGCAGGCAAUCGCCUUGAAUAUGUUAGCAUGGAAUAAUAAUAUAGGACCUUGGUUCUAUUUUGUUGGUUUCUAGGACUAAGGUAAUGAUUAGUAGGGAUAUUUGGGGGCAUUCGUAUUAACCGGUCAGAGGUGGAAUUCUUGGAUUCGGUUACGACGAACUACUGCGAAAGCAUUUGCCAAGGAUGUUUUCAUUGA
rnacentral:rRNA from 1 species